rnacentral:sRNA from 1 species
AGAUUUUAAAAGCAUAAGUAUUGUAUCCUUGUUAGAAGAUAUAAUGACAAAGACUCAUAUGGACUUCGGCUACACCAUGAAAGCUUUGGGAAGCAAUAAGAAGCUUGGUUAGUGUUUUGGAGUGAAAUAGGACUAGAUGUCAUGUGUAUGAGUGAGUAUAACAACUAGAAU